rnacentral:rRNA from 1 species
UGAUGACGAGACGCUAAGGCGUUGAAGCAGUGUAUGUCAGACUUCCAAGAAAAGCUCGCAAUGUCAUUAAUAAAAAAUGCCUGUACCAUAACCGACACAGGUGGGUAGGUAGAGUAUACUAAGGGGCGCGAGAUAACUCUCUCUAAGGAACUCGGCAAAAUGACUCCGUAACUUCGGGAGAAGGAGUGCCUUAUUUAUAAGGUUGCAAUAACAAGAUCCAAGCAACUGUUUAUCAAAAACACAGGUCUCCGCUAAGUCGUAAGACGAUGUAUGGGGGCUGACGCCUGCCCAGUGCCAGAAGGUUAAAGAAGUUGGUUAGUGUAUGCGAAGCUGAUGACUGAAGCCCUGGUGAACGGCGGCCGUAACAAUAACGGUCCUAAGGUAGCGAAAUUCCUUGUCGGGUAAGUUCCGACCCGCACGAAAGGCGUAAUGAUUUGGAUACUGUCUCGGAGAGAGGCUCGGUGAAAUAGACUUGUCUGUGAAGAUGCGGACUACCUGCACCAGGACAGAAAGACCCUAUGAAGCUUUACUGUAACUUGAAAUUGGAAUCGACUUUGCUUGCGCAGUAUAGGUGGGAAGCGUUGAAGAUAUUCUUGCGGGAGUAUUGGAGCUAUCAGUGAGAUACCACUCUUGUAAUGUUAGAUUUCUAACUUUGAACCAUAAUCUGGUCAAAGAACAGUUUCAGGUGGGCAGUUUGACUGGGGCGGUCGCCUCCCAAAUGGUAACGGAGGCGUACAAAGGUUUCCUCUGAACGGAUAGAAAUCGUAUCUAGAGUGUAAAGGCAUAAGGAAGCUUGACUGUGAGACCUACAAGUCGAGCAGGGACGAAAGUCGGUCUUAGUGAUCUGACGGUACUGAGUGGAAAGGCCGUCACUCAACGGAUAAAAGUUACUCUAAGGAUAACAGGCUGAUCUCCCCCAAGAGUUCACAUCGACGGGGAGGUUUGGCACCUCGAUGUCGGCUCAUCGCAUCCUGGGGCGGUAGUACGUCCCAAGGGUUGGGCUGUUCGCCCAUGAAAGCGGUACGCGAGCUGGGUUCAGAACGUCGUGAGACAGUUCGGUCCAUAUCCGGUGUAGGCGCUAGAAUAUUGGGAGGAGCCUUCUUUAGUACGAGAGGACCGAGAAGGACACACCGCUGGUGUACCAGUUAUCGUGCCAACGGUAAACGCUGGGUAGCUAUGUGUGGAGUGGAUAACCGCUGAAAGCAUCUAAGUGGGAAGCCCACCUCAAGAUGAGUAUUC